CCUCCGGGAGGCAGCAGUGGGGAAUAUUGGGCAAUGGGCGCAAGCCUGACCCAGCAACGCCGUGUGAAGGAAGAAGGCUUUCGGGUUGUAAACUUCUUUUGUCAGGGAAGAGUAGAAGACGGUACCUGACGAAUAAGCCACGGCUAACUACGUGCCAGCAGCCGCGGUAAUACGUAGGUGGCAAGCGUUGUCCGGAUUUACUGGGUGAAAAGGGCGUGUAGCCGGGUUGAAAAGUCAGAUGUGAAAUCCGGCGGCCUAACCGAAGAACUGCAUUUGAAACUGUUGAUCUGGAGUACUGGAGAGGCAGACGGAAUUCCUAGUGUAGCGGUGAAAUGCGUAGAUAUUAGGAGGAACACCAGUGGCGAAGGCGGUCUGCUGGACAGCAACUGACGGUGGGGCGCGAAAGCGUGGGAGCAAACAGGAUUAGAUACCCCAGUAGUC
rnacentral:rRNA from 1 species